GGGCCUUAACCCUAGAAUCGGAUCGGGCGACGAGAAGAGAGGCGAAGGAGGCAGCCAUCGGCUGCGGAUUCGCGAGUUCCUCCUCUUCCAUCUUCUAUUUGGUUUCCUUUUCCCUUUCUCAUGUGCGAAUAUUUGUGGUUUGUUUUUGUGUAUAUGUUGGAUGAUUUGGUGGCCGGGGUCAUUUGGGUUGACAGAAGAGAGUGAGCACACAGCGGGCGGCGGCAUCGAUCCGCGAGAUGCCGUCGCUGUUGCGUGCUCACUCCUCUCUCUGUCAUCCCUGUCUCCCUGGCGUUGCCUGCAGAGAGAGAUGCGCUACCUUAUGUUGGUGAUUACGCUGACGCUGUUUGGUGUGGAAGUGGUAAUAGGAAAGCGGGGCUCUGUGAGUUCAUGGCGGACACGCGUGCAAGAGAAGGCUUCUUCUUUUCCUCCGCCUCCCUCGCCUCCAAUCCCGAUCCUCUCUUAAGUUAUGCCGUUUUUUAGAUCCACUUGUCGCCGAUCUGUCUCUUCUCAUUCGGUUUCCGUUUUGGAGGGUGGGUUAAAGUUGGGCCUUUGGAAUGCGAGUGGCGGAAGAGAACAAGAAAGGAUUAAAAAAACCCGACCUUGAUGGUGCGUGGAAGCGUGGCUUUUGAGAUGGUGAUUGUUUCAGCUGGGCGGCGAAGUACACAAUGCCAUCCCCAUCUGUAUCGUCUGCCUAUUGUGUGGAUGUAACUUUAGUCACUGCGGUCUUCUUCUCCCUCCCUUCCCCCUCCUCUCCUCCUCCACUCAUUUUCCUUCUUUCUCUUCCUUUCCCUUCUAUUCCUUAUCGCUGAGACGUUGAUGUUGGGCGGUGACUACAGUCUCCGACGAAGCAUGGGUAGUUUCUUCCCAAUAUCCUUGUUGACCCUUCUCUUACCUUAGUUCCUAUCUCCUCUCUCUUUUUGUUUGCUUUUCGUUUCCUCCUCCUCCAUCUUUGGGGCUCUCAAGUCGGUCACAUUUAUUGGACUUAUCUCACUUUCCCAUAGAUACCUUUCUUGUUCAUCUGAUUUGCAUUGGAUUUUCGACAUUGUUAAUCCCUCCUUAUCUGAUCGUGAUCCUCAUCAGCUUUUGUUCUCGAGUUAUAUCGUGCAGUUCAAAUUUUGCUUCCCGCAUGCAUUAAAACCACCGUUGACUUGUGCUCCAGUCUCUUGAUGGAGCUCGGAUGUAUUGCGGAUGCUACACAAAGACCUCGGUGAGUCAGAUUUCGUCGUGUUCGACGUUCUACAUCAUUUCUUAGCGGAAAAGCAACUCGAGGAAAGAGUUGUCUGCUUUUAUGUUCAUGCGAUGGAGGUAUGAAUCGGUUACUGGCUCACAGAAGGUCUUCUUUAUUGUUUGGAAGUAUUCUUUAUUUCUUGAGAGAACUGAAUUAGAUCGAGAGUGGCCGGACAGACCACUGCCGCAGACUCUUUCUUUCAGUGUUCCACAAAGAAACUUGCUUUCCUGCCUUAUCCCAUUCAUUUUGUCCAGAAAACCUGUGACUUAUUUCUGUACAGAUGAUAUUAAGCUCUCUUUCCUUUUCAGUAUGGCUGAUCAAAAAAUAUUUUUUUACCGCUUUUGGGGUAUUUGACUAAUUCAUUUGUAGUAAUUGUGUAUAAGGGACAUGGAAAAACUUUGGGGUGAUAAAUUGACAUCUAACAUGUGAGGAUCUUAAUGUUUGAUCUUUUUCGCUAUCUGAAAAACAUGAUUCUUCAUUUUUUCAAAUAUUAAUGGUCAAUGUUCUGCAACUUACUCAGAAGCUUGCAACAAGAACAAUGAGUCAAUAUAGUCAAUAUUCCAAGUUAGGAAAUUGAAGUACCAUUACAUUUUGUUUAUUUUUGGUAAUGAGGUUUUAUCUGGAUUUUAGCAUUCUUUUUUUAGCACCCUUUGUCUUGACCGAUUCACCUCACCUGAUAAGUUGGUUGUCUUUAAUGAAGUUAACAGUCAUCUUGAAUUAUUUUUUUUCAUUCAUUAUUUAAUUGAAUACAUGACUUCUUACGUAACUUAAUGAUGAUAAAAUAUUUAUAUAGUUGAUCCCAAAUAAUUGAGACUUACAAUUUAAAGCUCAAUUUGCAUGUCACAUCUGAAAAUUUUCUUUUAUACUUAUACUAAAAAAUUGAACCGUCAUGUCUGCUAACAAGUAACCACCUCUGAUUCAGCAUUUUCAAUCUGGAUUUGACUCACUUUGCCUUAGAGGUGCAUUCUAUAGGUUGUCUUUCAACAUGAUUCUUUUCCUCAUUUAUCAACAGUUGAUACUAUGCCUGUUUUCAUAAAGCUCUGCUUUUGCAUGCAACACCUGAAAUUAAUCAUAUAUGUAUGUACAUAUAUAUAUAUAUGUAUGUACAUACAUACAUGUAUGUAUAUGUAUGUACAUACAUACAUGUAUGUAUAUGUAUGUACAUACAUGUACAUACAUGUACAUAUAUGUGUGGAGAGAGAGAGAGAUAUUGAAGAUAGUUUACAUUACAUUCUAUCUUGCAUUCCUUGUGUAAUUGCAAAACGCUGCAUAUUAUUUUGACUGCAGACUACAUAUUUUGAUGCCUUUAGGAAUAGUUUCUGCUUGCUUCCACUACAUGAAUGUGAGAUCUCCUUAGAUCAUAAGCCUUUUGUCUAAUGUUUUAGGGUUUUGUGCUACUCUUGGAGUCUAAUUGCUUGACUUGUCGUUCUAUCAAUCUAGUGAAGCAUUAGAUUUUUUUUUUUUUCACCAAUAAACCAAGUAAUUGUACCAUUUAAAUGAGUUUUACUAUCUGCUGCAUAUCUGAAGAAGAAAGUGUGAUUCGUGAAAAUUCAUCCAGAUACAUAUCCCAUAUAUAUUUUCUUUCAUUUUUUUGUUGCAUUUAUGUCCGACAAGAUUGUUGUCACAUAAUGUUAAGGAUAUCUGUCUUCUAAUUAGUGGAUCCAGGAUUUAGAAGUCCAAAAUAUCAAGCUUCUAAAUAGCCAUACUCCAGGAAUUCAAUAGUUAGCUUCGUUCCAAUUGUGGCCAUGGAUUCAAGUUUCAUGACUCCAAUCACUCGUUGCUUUCUACAAUGUAUACUGCUCUGGAAAGAUCUCUCGAUGGGCUCCCAUACAGUGGCCAAAGUUCUGCUAAUGUCGUGCGAGCUCAGUAGUCAGUAUACAUGUUAUGCUUCAUGCUCUUUAACCUGAUUCAAUCAGAAACGUUUGCUUUUGAGACUUCUAGCUUGUAGAAAAGGAUAUAUUCUGCUGUCAAAGGGGAUUCUGAAGGAGACUGCAUCGCAACCAAUUAUUUUGAGGAAAAGAUGUUGAUUGUUGGGAAGUAAGGAAUCAACUAAUGGGUUCAAAAGCUGAACCCUAAGCGAUGGAGUGGCUAAGACUUGCAUGGCAAUCAUUGCUUCUGUAGCUUUUGCUAGGUUGACUGUGGAAAUGUCUGCUGUCAAAUAUCUUGGUGGGACACAAACAAGGAAAGAACUGGCACGGGAGGCUUCAGAGCGGGAAAAAGGCUUCAAUGAGGACGAGCAGUAGGACUGUACAGUUCAUUCUACUGAUAGUUACGUAGUGCUCGGUACUUGUUAAUCUGUAGUCCCUUCUAAGAAUGGGAACUCACAUCUUUUGCUGCAUUUGUGCUCAUUUGGUGCGGAUGGUACUUCUCAAGAACUUUUUUCCAGUGUCCAUAGAUCUGGCCACAGGAAGAUCUCAGCUCAUAGCCUUCAACUGUUGGAGCAGGGAGUUCUUAUUGGUUCGAGGCAUCCUUACACUUGUGCUCUUGUGACACAUAGCCUGGAACUCUUGUGACACAUUUUCUCCAAGAAAAGCCAAGUAUUAUGAUCUGGUAUAUAUAUAAUCUGGCCUGAUAUGGUAAAUAUGGGCUCAAGUCUGGAAUUUGUGGCACAAUUUUCUUCAAGAAAACAUAUGUUUUGGGUCUUGUGAGAGAAUAAAAAUUUUGAAGUUCUAAUAUUUUAUUUUUUC